rnacentral:rRNA from 1 species
UACGAAGGGGGCUAGCGUUGCUCGGAAUCACUGGGCGUAAAGGGUGCGUAGGCGGGUCUUUAAGUCAGGGGUGAAAUCCUGGAGCUCAACUCCAGAACUGCCUUUGAUACUGAGGAUCUUGAGUCCGGAAGAGGUGAGUGGAACUCCUAGUGUAGAGGUGGAAUUCGUAGAUAUUAGGAAGAACACCAGUGGCGAAGGCGGCUUACUGGUCCGGUUCUGACGCUGAGGCGCGAAAGCGUGGGGAGCAAACAGGG